UUUAAAUUGUGGCAAUGAAUGGCUCCUCCAAAGGUAUGCAAAGGACAUACAUUGAUCGACCAUUUGUUCAAGUGUAUCAGAGCCACUCUCUGAACCAACACCGAAUUAAUGCAAAUUUGAGCAAUGCGCACAUCGGACAGGAUGGACAGACAAUGGCUUGUGUCUCUCGAGCAUUGCAGCAUUACAACACCACAAAUAAUGCCAAUUAUCAAAUUGACAUGACGGAGCCCAGAGAUAGCAAUGCAUUCGAUCCUAUUUACCGUCAAAGAUUUGGAACUGAGCUCGCCUGCUUUCAUGUCAAUUUCUCUGCAAGAAAUUCUAGUGGUGAAAAGCAGCUCUUCUUUGCAGAAUUGACCGGUGCAAAUGGGCCUGAGAACAUCAGUAGGGUUACAACAUUAGAGGGUGGAGGGGUUUAACGUGGUAUGGAGCACAAUGCUCAAGCCUGUUCUGUCUCUACUCUUGAUUUCAAUGGGGUCCUGAGG